AUUGAACGCUGGCGGCAUGCCUUACACAUGCAAGUCGAACGGCAGCACGGGAGCAAUCCUGGUGGCGAGUGGCGAACGGGUGAGUAAUAUAUCGGAACGUGCCCAGUCGUGGGGAUAACGUAGCGAAAGCUACGCUAAUACCGCAUACGAUCUAUGGAUGAAAGCGGGGGAUCGCAAGACCUCGCGCGAUUGGAGCGGCCGAUAUCAGAUUAGGUAGUUGGUGAGGUAAAGGCUCACCAAGCCGACGAUCUGCAGCUGGUCUGAGAGGACGACCAGCCACACUGGGACUGAGACACGGCCCAGACUCCUACGGGAGGCAGCAGUGGGGAAUUUUGGACAAUGGGCGCAAGCCUGAUCCAGCAAUGCCGCGUGCAGGAUGAAGGCCUUC
rnacentral:rRNA from 1 species